rnacentral:lncRNA from 1 species
GUCACCUCUCCUUUGAGCAGAUCCCCAUACUCACUGUCUUGAGGAAUGCGGGGGAGCAGAUGUUAGAGAGUCAAAAAUUUGUGCUGCCUUUGUCUGGUUUUGGUAUCAGAGAAAUACUGGCCUCAUAAAAUAAGUUGAGAAUUGUCCUCUCCUCUUCUGUUAUCUGGAAGAGAUUGUGUAAAAUUGGUAUUAAUUCAUCUUUAAAAGAGGUACUGCUACUGGUCCCUCCUCAUCCCCACCUCUACCUGCUGUCCUGGUGUUUCUGGGUGAGGGAGGAGAGUCUCAGGCCUGUAGGGACAAAGAGGCUUCCCAGACCAGUCUACUGGGUCUCUCCUGCUAACUCUGCCUACCUACCUCAGGAUCUCUCAAUGGAAAAAGGGAGUACCAGCAGAGAAGGCGAGUACCUCCUCUGGUCGCAUAUUUCUGGCAAUCCAUCCCCCUUGCUGGUGGUGUCAGGUUCACUUGAUGUUAUCAGAGGGCCUCCAGUGUGAUCUGGGGAAGGAAUGAGCCUAUCUGGGCUGCCUUCUAUUCUAGGUUGAAACUUAAGAAACUCCUGGUCUGUGUGGCCUUCCUCUGUUGGGUAGGGGUACAUGAGACACCCUGCAACUGUGUUGUUCCUGCAAUCCUGGGGUCCCAAACCACCUUGCAUUCUUCUAACCACAUUUCACAUUUCUCUCUUGAUUGUCUUUUACGCCAAUUCUGUGAUUUAUAGUUGUACUUAGCAGGGAGAAGCAGGGAAAAACAAGUCUACACCAUCUUGUCCUGCUUGGAAGUGACUUUCACUUUUCACAGAUGCACAAGGACUCACUCAGUUCCAAAAGGUCUUGAAUUACUUGAAUUCUGUAUAAGCAGACAAGGAUUUAACAUGAAGAUGAGAAAGAAGAGGAGACAGAACCAUUCAUCAUUGACUUGAUCUCA